AACGAACGCUGGCGGCGCGUCUUAAACAUGCAAGUCGAACGGCAGGAAGGGGCUUGCCCCUUCUGAGAGUGGCGGACUGGUGAGUAACACGUGGGUGACAUACCUUUUAGUUGGGGAUAGCUAUUAGAAAUAGUAGGUAAUACCGAAUGUGACCGUACCUGUUAGAGGGGUACGAGGAAAGGAGCUAAGGCUUCGCUAAAAGAAUGGCUCGCGGCCCAUUAUGCUCGUUGGUGAGGUAACGGCCCACCAAGGCGAUGAUGGGUAUCCGGCCUGAGAGGGUGAACGGACACAUUGGGACUGAGAUACGGCCCAGACUUCUACGGGAGGCAGCAGUUAAGAAUAUUCCGCAAAGGACGAAAGUCUGACGGAGCGACGCCGCGUGGAUGAAGAAUGCCGAAAGGUUGUAAAAUCCUUUUAAGCCUGAUGAAUAAGCACAGUAGGGAAUGAUUGUGCGGUGACCGUAGGGCUUGAAUAAGCACCGGCUAAGUACGUG
rnacentral:rRNA from 1 species